CAACUGUCCUUCCUAAAUCCACUGCAGUUUGCUAUCCAGAUGUUGGACUGUUCCUGUCUCAGUGGAGGACAAUGUGUGUCUGAGAGACAUGUAAUGUCCAUGUUUGCUGCUGAAAGAGACUGAUGGUCUGACCCCCCUCCUCCUUUCAGGGUGGAGCCUGCUGGAGGCCCAUUCUUGACUCCAGGUCCAUGGAGACUGAGGAAGUAUUCCUGUCAACUCACCAUCGACACAAACACAGUGAGCAGAGAGCUCAAACUGUCUGAAGACAACAGGAAGGUGACAUUUGUGGAGGAGCUUCAGUCAUAUCCUGAUCAUCCAGACAGAUUUGAUCGUCCUCAGCUGCUGUGUAAAACUGGUCUGACUGGUCGCUGUUACUGGGAGGUCGAGUGGAGAGGAAGAGUUGAUAUAUCAGUGAGUUACAGAAGAAUCAGGAAGAAAAGAAACAGUAAAGACUCUAGGUUUGGAUGGAAUGAUCAUUCCUGGAGGCUGAGCUGCACUGAUGAUGAUGGUUACUCCGUCUGUCACAAUAACACAUCAACUCGUCUCUUCUCCUCCUCUGACUCUCACAGAGUAUCUGUGUAUGUGGACUGUCCUGCUGGCAUUCUGUCCUUCUACCAAGUCUCCUCUGACUCACUGAUCCAUCUCCACACCUACAUCACCACAUUCACUGAACCUCCGCUUCCGGGAUUUGGGUUCUGGUUCAGUCCUGGUUCCUCAGUGUUUCUGUGCUGAGGAACUCUUUAAAGAGUUUAAAGAGUUUCCUCCUGAGAAACUCUCACUGCUUAUGAUAGUUCAGUAUCUUCAUGUUUGUUUCAUUCAGAAACAUGUUUUCAUGGAUCCAGGAUGUUCAUGAUUAUUCCAGGAUUAUUCCAGGACCCACAUUUUUUCCAGUCAAAAAUUCACAAUGAAUCUCAGUAUGAUGUGUUUUCGCUUGAUGUUCUUCCUUUCAUUCAUCACUCAGAUUUCUUUAACUUUACUGCAGUUUUUCCUCAAUCAGUGGACAUUUUAUGUUCCAGUUAUCUCUUAAAUACAUCUUGGAUUAAAAUGUUAAAUGGUCCUCUUGUAUAUUUAUUGCAGUUACACUUCAUGUUUUUAGUGAAUAAACAUUUUUUUUACAUUUUAUUUA